rnacentral:rRNA from 1 species
UACGUAGGGUGCGAGCGUUGUCCGGAAUUAUUGGGCGUAAAGAGCUCGUAGGCGGUGUGUCACGUCGGCCGUGAAAACCUGCAGCUUAACUGUGGGCGUGCGGUCGAUACGGGCAUCACUGGAGUUCGGCAGGGGAGACUGGAAUUCCUGGUGUAGCGGUGAAAUGCGCAGAUAUCAGGAGGAACACCGGUGGCGAAGGCGGGUCUCUGGGCCGAUACUGACACUGAGGAGCGAAAGCGUGGGGGAGCGAACAGG